rnacentral:rRNA from 1 species
UGGGGGAUAUUGCACAAUGGGGGAAACCCUGAUGCAGCAACGCCGCGUGAGGGAAGAAGGUUUUCGGAUUGUAAACCUCUGUCCUUGGUGAAGAUAAUGACGGUAGCCAAGGAGGAAGCUCCGGCUAACUACGUGCC